rnacentral:rRNA from 1 species
CAGCAGCCACGGUAAUACGUAGGGUGCAAGCGUUAAUCGGAAUUACUGGGCGUAAAGCGUGCGCAGGCGGUUUGUUAAGACAGAUGUGAAAUCCCCGGGCUCAACCUGGGAACUGCAUUUGUGACUGGCAAGCUAGAGUGUGGCAGAGGGGGGUGGAAUUCCGCGUGUAGCAGUGAAAUGCGUAGAUAUGCGGAGGAACACCGAUGGCGAAGGCAGCCCCCUGGGCCAACACUGACGCUCAUGCACGAAAGCGUGGGGAGCAAACAGGAUUAGAUACCCCAGUAGUCCCUGUCUCUUAUAC